rnacentral:misc_RNA from 1 species
AAGUGAUGCAAGCGCGACAGGCAUAAAAAAUGGGAGCCCACAGGGCUCCUUUUUUAUGCCUGUCGCGCUUGCAUCACGU